rnacentral:lncRNA from 1 species
UUAAACCUUAUCCCCAUAUAAAAACCUAAUAUCAUCCAAACCCUAAACCUAAUCUCUCUCCCAAACGGCGCCCUCACCUUCCCAGCCCACUGUCGUCUCUCCAACUCGCCGGAAUGGGCGAGUCCGCUCACCCGAGUCCCAUGGUCCUCCCCUCUCAUCUUCUCCUUCCUCCACGUACCAAUAUAACAAACUCAGAAUAUUCUCUAAUGAUUUCACCCAAAUCGAAUCCGCCUUCUCCCUCACGCGCUUUGAUUUUCUUGAACAAAUCUCGGAUAAAUGGGAGCGAUUGGAUGUGAGUGAAAGCCGAUCCACGCCUUCCAUUUUUUUUUUUUUGCUUUAUGAAAUUUUCGGGAGUUUUCAGUUUUUUGAAGUUAUUUUGGGAGAUUUCUUGCAGGAGAAGAAUAGAACCUUCGAGAGUUCAUAAAAAUACUCCCAUUUGGAGGAUUUUCAGCCAGCCGAAGGGUUGAAAAAAAAAUUAGGGUUCUAAGAGUGAGUUCUUCUUCUCAUUUGGUCCAUCUUCAAUUAAGUUUAAGUUCCACAAAAGCAAAAAUACAAAAAAAAACUAGGGUUUUAGGUUCUCCUUUAAUCUUCUUCUGAUUUUCGAUAUAGCUGAUUCACAUAUAUUAAAAAAAAUGAGUUCUGUUUUCAUUUGAUAAGUGAAAAAAUACAAAAGAUUCUGGGUUCUUCUUUUACACAUUUUGGUUCAAGAAUGAAAUGGAUGUUAGUUGAGGUUUGAAGCCGAUUUGGGUUGCCGUCCGUUGUUCGAAACUCGUGGUUCCUGUUCGAUCUAGCCGUUGUAUUCUCGAGUGGCCUUUUGAAUUUGAAGCUUUGUAGCUGAUUGCUUUGAUUCUCUAUUAUUAAGAAGAAAUUUGCACUCAGGUUCAUAUCCUAUCUCUUCUUUUAUCUAAAGUAUGACUGAGACUAUGAUGAGACUUUAGGAUUAAAACAAAUUUAAGUGUUUAGAAUCUGUCUGUUUUCGAGAUGUUGAAUGUGUUCUACUUUAGUUCUUUUGAAUUUGCCUUGCUCGUCAUGUUGAGAUUAAGCGUGUGUUGCAUCUCGGAAACUUUGUUGUGAUAUUUUCUGCUUGAUCUCAAUCGUAUUCAUUUGGUUUAAGAUGUUGGCGCUGCCAUCUUCCUUGCUCUUUCAGUCUUGCUUAAAUUGUCCUUGGUCUGAAGAUAAUAGUGAUAUUUGAGUAGUAUAGAGUGAUCCUAUUUUCGGCAGGAUCGAGUAUGUGUGAUUAUAAUAUCACCUUGAUUCAUUGGUUUGCAUUUGUUCCUUGAAUUUUGACAUAAAAGCGCCCUGAAAGUUUUCAUCAUAUUUGCCUCAAAGUUAAUUUGCCAUUUUCGGAUCUCCUAGCUUAUUAGAGGUGAUGUGAAGCUAGUUUUGGAUUACCAUUGGAGUUGAAUUUUCUUUUCCCUUUUAGUUCAUAAAUAUAGGAAUCUAGUCCUUGAUUGAAUGCAAAUAAAGUGCUACAGGAUAUUAGCUUAGCAGAAUAGGAAUUCUUGUGCCAUGAGGAUUAUGUGCUUCCUCUUGUUCUAUUGGCAUUCUUUCCUCCCAUUAAUUUGGUUACUAAUGUUAUUACAUUGUCUCAGUGUGCUUGUCUGGCGCCUUUUAGGAUAGUAUAGGAACAAGUGAUUAACUUAGAUGACAGAGUAUAAUUUAGGCUUGAAAAGUGAGGUUUAAAGGAUCUGAGACUAUCAAAUGGGGUUGGUAAGAAAUCUGACAAUUGGUUUUUCCCAAAUUCACGUUGUUUUUUCAUUUACGUUUCAGUUUAUUGUUAUAUAGUUUUAGUUAGUUGCUUAUUUAUAUCCUUUGAAUGUUUUAAACUCUCGUUGGUGGAAUGUCUAAAGUCUUUGUUUGUGUGCACAGUUUAUGUGAUUCUUUAUGUGGACGAUUCGAAUGAAUUAUUGUGAAUGAUAUAGGGUCAUGGGAAUUGGGAAAAGAUCGACCCCACUGGAAUUUAAUCAAACCACGUGCAUUAGGAAUGGGUUCGGUCUCAAUACAUAGAAAAUGAAAAGUUAAAAGGAGGGUGAGCAUGAAGUGAAUUUUGUUUGCUAUAGUUUAUUUUUACUUUUACUCUUCUUAUUUAAUCGCUAAUAGUAUGCUUAGGCCCACCACGCUAGGGUAGGCAAGCCUUAGAAUUUUUGUUAGUUUUGAGGUGGGAGGUCGUUCCCUUAGUUAAAUUUAUCCGGGGAAAGCCUAGAAGAAUUUUGUGUUUAUUUUCCUUUUCUAUGAUUUUACCUCAACUUGAAUAUUUUAAGAGCCGACUAGAUCAAGUAUGCAUCCGUACUAGUUACAGGACUUAGGGAGUGCCUAACACCUUCUCCCCGAGACAAAUGAAUCCCCUUACCUAAAAUCUCUGGUGCCGACUUAGUUUUGAGUCCAAAGUGUUUUAAAAGGAAAAUUAUUUCUAAAAAGACGGUGGCCUGGCACACCGAAAUCAAAUGCCAGGUGGCGACUCUAAAAAAUCUUUUGAAACACAAUAUUCUUUGUCACUUUUAAUUAAAAACCCUUUUUGAGCUUUAAAAUCUUUUUAUAUAUUUAAGAGGGUAAGUGAGUUGUAAAAAAGGGGGUGUGACAUUCAUUAUUGUAAUUUUCUCUUUCUUUCUUUUCUUUUGACUGAUAUAUCUCCAUUUCACAUAUAGGCCAUCAUAAAGUUUAGAGCUGAGCUGAGCCAAUGUGAGGCCGAGCUCAGGAAAGUUUCGGGCGAAGAAAAGGCCCUGAGGCUCCUCUGUAGCCCAAAAGGAAGAGGAGAUUAAGGAUCUCCGGACCGCAUUGGCCAAAGUUCAAAAAAGCGAGUACAAGCUAGAUGAGCAAGUAACUGUGAUUUUAACAGAGUACGGCCUUCUUGGCCCUACUUUAGAGGCUAACACUUCGAUAUAUCUGCUGCAGCAAAAGCUAGAGAUGAUUGGGCAGCUCCGGGGCGAGGUUGAUCAAGUUAAAGUUGAUUGUCAUCAGUGGAAGAAGAACAUGGAUCAACUUGCUGCCGAUAAGGAAACUGUUACAGCCCAACUGGCCUCGGUUGAACUCAACUCCGAGACAUUAAAGAGAAGGGUCUGGCUCAGGCCAAUAAGAUCGAGGAGUUAGAGGCUGAGGUCGCUAGAGCCCGGGUCGAAGUUGUACAGGCUAAGGCUGAAGCUGAGAAGACGAAGGCUGCGGUUGAUAAAUCCAUUGCCAUAUACUUAAGGGACGUCGUGGCCGUUCAAGAUGAGUUGAGGGAGGCCUCCGACUGUGGAAAAUGGAGCAAUGAUUUGGCUAAGUUCCAAGCGCGAAGGGAGAUUCUUGAAGAAAUCCAUGCCCGAGGGUUCAACCUUGCCGAGGAGAUAGCCGAGGCAAAGGCGUGGGAAAUCGAUAUCAGGUUUCUUGGCUCCUCCGAUGAUGAGGAUGUAGCGAGUGGCUCCGGGGACGAGGAAGGUGAAGAAGAUGUUCCCGAGGGAGAUGAAACUCCCAAAGAUAGAGCUGUUGAAGAUGCAGUUUCCGAAGAUGACGUUCCCGGGGGUGUGACCCCGAAAAUAGAUUAGGUUUUCUUUUUUGUGAAAGUUCCCCUUGUGGGCAUUGUAAAUAUGUUUUGUAAACUUCCCUUGUGAAUAUAAAUUAUCUUUUUGUUCUAUCCUCGACUUGUGUUGAAUUUUAUUUUGUUCCCGUUUGUGAAAGAUUUCGAUAAUUCAAAUACUCAACUCGACUAUCGGUUUGGACUUAUAAUGUAAUAAACCCUUAGGUUUUUAUUGCUCAAUAUAAUACCCCUUAAGGUUUUAGAUAAUCCUCGAGCUAAGCUUAAAUCAAUUCGAUGCAAGCUCAGAACAAUGGGACUCUUGGGUCCGAGUUGAGUGAGAACAAGGUCUCGGACUCUUAUAUGCUUUUGGUCCUUAAGCUCUUUUAAGCUGGCCCUAAGGCUCUUAUAUAUCGAACUUUAGGCUCUUUUAAAAUUAUCCCCUAGACUCUUUAAGUUGGGCCGUUUCGGCCUCUAAAAUGGUUGUAAUUUUUUCCUUCUUUUCAGCUAAAAGACUUAGUGAAAGUUUAGUUAUGCCUUAGCAUGUGUUUUUAUACCCGUUGGGUUUUUCGAAGGUCCGACGUAUCGGAAGCUUAUUAGUAAUUUGUUUGUGUAAACAUAAUCGAAUACCUCUUGAGAUUUUCCUGAAGGCUGAUGUUAUCAAAGCCUUUGGAUUAUUCGAGGGCUGAAUUUAUUGAAGCCCUUAGAAUUUUUUGGGGGCUGAAUUUAUCGAUGCCUUUUAUAUUUUGCUUUUGUCGAGGGUAGCCUGAUUUAACCGAUUUUUCAAUGUUUGAAGGCCUUUAAUUUAUAGCAGAAGUCUGACGUCUCCGAACCGCAUUAUUUUGGCCGUAGCUUUUAGUAUGGCCGUAGCCUUCGGGUUUGUCACUUGGACUUGUUUCCAGAUAACUUUCCGAACUUGUUCGAAAAAGUUAGUCCCUGCGUAUAUUGGCCUUAGCCUUUGUUUCGAAGGGGUGCCUCUUUGAGGUCUUGUGAGUUCGAGUUUUUGAUAACUCGGGUGUACUGACUGUCGAUGACAGUCCCCGAGUAUUCAGGGGUGCUUUUAUGCUCUGGCUCUUGAGCAGUUUCCCGUAGGAUUAUAAGUGUAAGGCUCGUAUAAUAGUAGACUUCUUUGAGACAUAAAGUGUUUUUGACAUUAACAGAAUACUUCUUCAAAUAAUUGAUACAUGUUUUGUCGUCGGGGCUCGACUAUUCUAUACGGAUACGGUUCAUCUGACCGUUUGGUCCAUUACAAAAUUUUCCUAUCGAGGCCCUCCUAGGCGUGAAGUAUUUUUCUUGAAAAUAUAACCUCCGAGUGUGAUGCCCCCCCAGUAUUCGAGGUUGAUUAAAAAUAAGCCUCGGAUAUUGUUGAGUUCUCCUGAGGUAGCACAUAGUUGUUGCCUCGUUAAAAACCUUGCCAGUAAAACCCAUUUGGAACAAAAUCCGAUUUAAGGGAAAAAGAGUGCAAUACAUGCUUUAAAACCUAAGGCCUUCGUAUAAAAGGGGUGUCUUCGAGAUCGCGUGCCUUCGAUAGCUUUGACCGAAAGUUUGUAACAAGUUAGUUUUAAACUCAAAUGCGUAAAAAGAUAAAGUCAUACCUCAGCAGUAGUAUCGUUUGAGCAAUGAUAUAUUCAAAUUGUUUGGCAGUUUUUCACCUUCCAUCGUGCUAAGGUUGUAAGAUCCUUUACCGACGACUCCAAGGACUUGGUACAUCCUUCCCAAUUCGAGCCUAGUUUCCCUUCAUUCGGGUCUCGAGUGUUGAGGGUGAUCUUUCGUAGAACUAAGUCCCCGAUUCCAAAAUGUCGAAGGUUGGCUCUUCUAUUGUAGUAUCUUUCGUUCCUUUGCUUUUGCCAGGAUAUCCGAACAAGCGAUGCUUCUCGCUUUUCAUCUAAUAACCCAAAGCUGGCAUUCAUGGCCUCAUGAUUUGACUCCUCUGAUGCAUGUAUAAACCUAGCUCUGGGUUCUCCAACCUCGAUGGGGAUGAGGGCCUGAGCCAUAUACUAGAGAAAAUGGGGUGGCCCCCGAGCUAGACUUCGAUGUCGUUUGAUAUGCCCAAAGGACCUCGGGUAAAACUUCUCUCCAUUUCCCUUUUGCGUCGUCCAGUCUUUUCUUCAAGUUUAGAAUGAUAGUUUUAUUUGUUGACUCAGCCUGUCCGUUUCUAGUUGGGUGGUAUGGUGUCGAUAAAAUUCUCUUUAUUUUAUGUGCUUCGAGGAACUCUAUUACCUUGCCACCGAUGAAUUUCUUUCCAUUAUAACAUACAAUCUCGGUAGGUAUCCUGAAUCGACAUAUGAUGUAGUCCCAGAUAAAGUCAAUAACUUAUUUUUCUCGGACCUUCUCGAAGGCUUGUGCUUCCACCCACUUAGAAAAAUAAUCAGUCAUAAACAAAAUGAAUUUAGCUUUACCUGGGGCCAUUGGUAGAGGGCUGACUAUAUCCAUUCCCAUCUCUUGAAAGGCCACGGGGAUAAGACUGAAUGGAGUUGUUCUCCGGGCUAAUGGAUCAUCGGUGCAAAUCGUUGACACUUAUCACAUUUUUUGACAAAUUCCUUAGUAUCUUUUUUCAUAAUGUUCCAGUAGUAUCCUGCUCUGAUAAUUUUGCGGACCAAAGAUUCAGCACCGGAAUGGUUCCCACAAAUUCCUUCGUGGAUUUCUCGUAGAACAUAAUCGGUGUCCCCUGGAUCUAAGUAUACCGCCAAUGCUCCAUAGAAUGUUCUUCGGUACAAUGUUCCAUCUUUGUCUAAUGCAAACGUAGCAGCCUUGGCUCGUAGGGCCCUCAAUUCUUUGUGGUCCGAUGGGAGUUUCCCAUUCUUCCAAUAGUCGAUAUACUUAUUUCUUUAAUCCCACGUUAAACUUGUUGAAUUUAUCUCGGCAUGACCCUCUUCGACCACAGACUUUGAUAGUUGGACGACAAUCCCCGGGACUAUGUCAUCUUCUUCGAUUGAAGAUCCUAGAUUAGCGAGUGCAUCAGCCUUGCUAUUUUGUUCUCGAGGUACAUGAUCCAGAGUCCACUCCUUGAAGCGGUGCAAAGUUACCUGUAGCUUAUCCAAGUACCGCUGCAUUCUAUCCUCUCGAACCUUAAAACUUUUGUUUAUCGGAUUUACCACCAACACAGAAUCACACUUGGCCUCGAUGACUUCUGCUCCCGAGCUUUUGGCUAGCUUGAGACCUUCAAUCAUGGCCUCAUACUCGGCCUCAUUGUUAGUUAAUCUAGGAGUUUUGAUAGAUUGCCUAAUGGUAUCACCCGUGGGUGGAUUUAAAACAAUGCCGAGCCCGGACCCCUUCACAUUCGAGGCGCCUUCCGUGAAAAGGGUCCAAACACCCGAUGUUGUACCUGUACUUAGCAGGAGUUAUUUCUCCACUUCGUGUACGAGGGUCGGCUUAAAAUCGGCCAUGAAGUCAGCUAGGAUUUGAGACUUGAUGGUCGUUCGGGGUUGAUAUCUGAUAUCAUACCCGCUAAGUUCGACGGCCCAUUUGGGGCAAUCGGCCCGAUAGCUCGAGCUUAUGCAAAACAUUUCGAAGGGGGUAGGUAGUUAGUACACAUAUGGGAUGGCAUUGAAAAUAUAAUUUUAACUUUAGAGAUGUGCUUAUCAAUGCAAGUGCUAAUUUUUCUAAGUGAGGGUACCUAGUUUCAGCAUCUCCUAGAGUUCGACUUACGUAAUAAACAGGAAACUGCGUACCUUGCUCUUUUCGAACUAGUACCCCACUUACCGCUAUCUCGAACACUGCCAAGUAUAGAUAAAGUUUUUCAUAUAUCUUCGGGGUGUGAAGCAAAGGUAGGCUCGACAGAUAUCGCUUUAAUUCUUCUAAGGUUUGCUGAUAUUUCGGGGUCCAUGCGAAAUCCUUUUUCUUUUUGAGCAAGGAAAAGAACCGGUGACUCCAAUCUGAUGACCUUGAAAUUAAUCGACCCAGAGAAGCUAUUCGGCAUGUUAACCUUUGCACGACCUUCACAUUAUCCAUGACCGUGAUGUCCUCGAUGGCCUUGAUCUUAUCGGGGUUAAUUUUAAUGCCCCUAUUCGACACCAUUAAACCGAGGAACUUACCUAAGCCUACUCUGAAGGCACAUUUCUCCGAGUUGAGCUUCAUGUUGUAUUUUCUCAAGAUUUUGAAUGUUUCCUGCAAAUGAGUCAAAUGGUCCUUUGUGCGCAGGGAUUUAACCCAUAUCAUCAAUGUAAACUUUCAUUGUUUUACCUAUUUGUUCUUCAAACAUUUUGUUAACUAGGCGUUGGUAUGUGGGCCCCGUAAUUUUUAGCCCAAAGGGCAUCACAUUAUAAUAAUAAGUCCCAAAUUUUGUAAUAAACGAAGUUUUUUCAUGAGCUUGAAGUGAGUGAAGUUCUGUGGUUGUUUUUUAUUGUUCCAGGUAUAUUCAUGAGCUUGAAGUGAUAAAAUGGGCUUGUAAUUUGCUGAUUUGGAAUGGGACUCUCUUGUUCAUUUGGCUAAAUCCUUCUCUUCUAUUGUUCAUGAUAUUGUUUCAGCUUUGUUUAAGUAUUGUCAACGCUAACUUAGUAUAGGUGGAUGGUUUAAGCAUUUAGGUUGUUUUUAGCUCAUUCAUAAGUGUUUAACAAUUUGCUAUACUUAGUAAUUGUAAUUAUUCGGGACUGUUUUUCAAAGGUUUGUUGAAUGUAAACUCAUGCAUUUGUAUUGUUAAGCAUGAUUAUAGGUGUAGAUCUAAUGUUAAUCUUUGAGUGAAUUUCAGAAAUUGACCCUUUGUCGAGAUUAAUAGCAUGCUUAUUGGGACCAUUGUAAGAUUAACAAGUAGUUUCAUAAUCUAGGAUCUUAUUCUUAGUAUGAAUAGUAACAUUGAUUUUUAAGUUCAUAAUAUGGUUAUUUAGGUGUUGUGAUUCUCAAAACUUAUUUAUUAUGCUAUUGUGAUUUUUGACUAAGGAAAGUUUUAAAUGUUGCAUUUUUAGCAUAUUUAAUCUCAAGUUAUGCUUUUAAUCUGAUUAAAAUUGUGCAAAGUGACUUGGGAUGUCAUGGGGUAACACAACUGUUGGGUUUCGAAUGGGACUUAACAUAGGCCCAAAUCGAGCAGCCCGGUCUCAAGCGGGGUCCUUCAGCUUUGGUGUAGUUGUUUCGUUUCCCCUGUGAAGUUUCAUUUAAUGCAUUGCCUGAGCUCAAGAUGUUCAUGUGGUCAUUUUUGUUUCAAGCUAUUGCAGCAAGUCUCACAGCUGGGCCUUGUAGUUGGCUCAGUUCUGCCCAAAUGCCUUUGCUGAUCCCGAUUAGCUUGGGCCUCCUCUUGAGCCUAAUUCCCCUUUAAAUGUCAUCUGUUGUUACUGCAAGUCUGGAACUUGUUCCCCUCCCCCCCCCCACCCCAAACGUUAAGUUAGUACAGUACUUUGCAUAGGCUGCUUAUAGUAAUGUUAGAUAACAUUUAAUUUAGACAAGAAUUCAAACUCCUUUAGACCUCUUUAUUAAGCAUGAUUCUUUUAAUUAGAUUGAGGUGUGCCAUAUCAAACAAGACCUAUAAUUUAUGGCCCUCAUAAGACUAGAUCAAGAAAUCACUUGAAGAAAG